UUUCCGGUUGAUCCUGCCGGACCUGACUGCUAUCGGAUUGAUACUAAGCCAUGCGAGUCUUUGUAGUAAUACAAGGCAGACGGCUCAGUAACACGUAGUCAACCUACCCUAUGGACGAGAAUAAUCUCGGGAAACUGAGCAUAAUUCUUGAUAGAUCAUAAUGCCUGGAAUGGUUUAUGGUUAAAAUGAUUCGUCGCCAUAGGAUGGGACUGCGGCCUAUCAGCUUGUUGGUGAGGUAAUGGCCCACCAAGGCGAUUACAGGUACGGGCUCUGAGAGGAGAAGCCCGGAGAUGGGUACUGAGACACGGACCCAGGCCCUAUGGGGCGCAGCAGGCGAGAAAACUUUGCAAUGUGCGAAGGCACGACAAGGUUAAUCCGAGUGAUUUCUGCUAAAGAAAUCUUUUGCCAGUCGUAAAAACGCUGGUGAAUAAGGGGUGGGCAAGUUCUGGUGUCAGCCGCCGCGGUAAAACCAGCACCUCAAGUGGUCAGGAUGAUUAUUGGGCCUAAAGCAUCCGUAGCCGGCUUUGUAAGUUUUCGGUUAAAUCCAUGUGCUCAACGCAUGGGCUGCCGAAAAUACUGCAUAGCUAGGGAGUGGAAGAGGUAGACGGUACUCAGUAGGUAGGGGUAAAAUCCUUUGAUCUAUUGAUGACCACCUGUGGCGAAGGCGGUCUACCAGAACACGUUCGACGGUGAGGGAUGAAAGCUGGGGGAGCAAACCGGAUUAGAUACCCGGGUAGUCCCAGCUGUAAACGAUGCAGACUCGAUGAUGCAUUGGCAUAAUAGCCAUUGCAGUGUCGCAGGGAAGCCGUUAAGUCUGCCGCCUGGGAAGUACGUACGCAAGUAUGAAACUUAAAGGAAUUGGCGGGGGAGCACCACAAGGGGUGAAGCCUGCGGUUCAAUUGGAGUCAACGCCGGG
rnacentral:rRNA from 1 species